AAUACACAGGACAAAACAAUAAAUACACAGGACAAUAAAUACACAGAACAAUAAAUACACGGGACAAAACCAUAAAUACACAGGACAAUAAAUACACAGGACAAAACAAUACACAGGACAAUAAAUAUACAGGACAAUAAAUACACAGGACAAAACAAUAAAUACACAGGACAAUACAAUAAAUACACAGGACAAUAAAUACACAGGACAAUAAAUAUACAGAACAAUAAAUACACAGGACAAUAAAUACACAGAACAAUAAAUACACGGGACAAAACAAUAAAUACACAGGACAUGGGCUAUAAAUUGAGACGAGUCUAUAAUUAUGAAUUAGACAGGUUAGAUUAGAGUCUAAUUAACGAACCCGAACACAUACGCGGACAUUUUGAACUCGGAAAUUUUUCCAAGUACAGUUGAGUCGGCAGCAUGUGUAACAUGAAAAUAAAUAAAUAAAUAAAUAAAUAACACAUAAUAAAUAAAUAGCGACAUGAAACUAAGAUAACAAGAAAUGAAUGAAUGAAUGAAUGAAUGAAUGUCUCCCUGCCUGACCAGUGCAAGUAAUAGACUCUAUGCACGAUCGCUUCUAUAUUUUGUCUCAGCCAGCUCAGUUACUUCCGGUGCUGCGCCGGAAGCCAGUUUCGGUGUUGGUGAUAAUGGUGAGAAGAUGGCGCCGGAGAGUACGACUUAUUUACACUGACUGUUUACAAGAACUUCCCCAGAUUACCGUGAAUAACCUUAAUCGCACCGUGAGGCAGUCAGCUGUUACACCCGACAGUAAGAAGGAGAAGGCCUUCAAAUGAUAUAUUUCGAGUUUGAUGGAGUUGCGUGUCUCACAGGGACUGAUGGAGCAGAUGUAAGCAGAUGGGACACUAUGAUAACUACACAGGUGACAUGACAGGACAUCAGCUCCUAAUGUAGGCAACAUCUGGCUGCUGCUAAUCUAGGCACAAGACUUCCCGAGUCCCGCCGUCACUCCAGAUUAGACGCCGUCCUCGUCCGAAACGAAGGUCGAGUUUCUGAAGAAUCUCGCGGGCUCGCAAGCAUCCAAGGAAGUAUACGAAACAAAGGGGACGGACCAGCUGCUCUUAAGCGAAUUCAUCUCGAGUCUAAAAGUUGAUCACUGAUUGAGAGCCUGAGGGACAACCUCUUUACAGCGCAGCGGUGGCAGAUAAGUAGUCUGUAAAUGAGGACGUAGGAUCUAAAUGAGGAAGGCAGGACUCUGUGGUUCUUUAUGUCAAUCUUAAAUCAUUGCCCAUUGUUUAAGUGUGGGGUAGAGUUAAGGAGAAAGUUGUUUGGGAGAGGGAGUGUAAUUGUCUCACUGUAUCAAUGUGAUGGGAGUCAGCCCCCUCCUCUGGCCCUGUGGACUGAGCGUUACCUCCUACUGAUGAGAGGAUACCUGUGCAAUCAGACUUCACACCAAGAACUAUUGUAUCAUAAUCACUCCAAUUCACACACUUCAGCUUUUACAUGGCGGGAUUCAUUAUCCUCCAUUUCACAAGCCAUUUAGCCGGGGAUUCUUUUUUUUUUUACCCCCUAAUUUAGACCCUGCAUUGCUUUUCGGAGUUCUCUGUUACUGUGUUGUACUUAUUUGUCCUCAGUUCAGGUCUCUUGUCUUGUCUUGCCUUCUCUUCUCUUCUCUUCUCGUCUAGUGUAGUCUCUUCUCGUCUCUUCUCUUCUCGUCUAGUCUAGUGUAGUCUCUUCUCUUCUCAUCUAGUCUCUUCUCGUCUAGUCUAGUGUAGUCUCUUCUCUUCUCGUCUAGUCUCUUCUCGUCUAGUCUAGUGUAGUCUCUUCUCGUCUAGUCUCUUCUCUUCUCUUUUCUUCUCGUCGAGUCUAGUCUCUUCUCUUCCUACUACGGUUGCUUCCUCCUAUAUCUUUCAACCUCACUCAGAUGAGGACCUUGUCAUUAGCAUGCUGUGUCUUUCCGCCAUUUAUCUUUGCUCAUUAUGCCAAAUCUCCCUUCCUUCUUUCUUGCACUCUCCCCGUAACCGUAGUACCAUACAGCCAGGCAGGAGUUGUUAAUGGCCCAUGUUGCUUUAAUUGGUUUCUAACCGUUUAUGAGUGAGAAUCCAACUGUGAGCUUAAUGAACAGGUAUGACUGGGUAAUUACUGCAAUCUUACACCCCCCCCCCCCUCCCACACACCCUCCC
ensembl:lncRNA